rnacentral:rRNA from 1 species
UUAAAAAGCUCGUAGUUGAAUUUCGGGGUUAGUAGGUUGGUCAUGCCUCUGGUAUGUACUGGUCUCACUGAUUCCUCCUUCCUGAUGAACCGUAAUGCCAUUAAUUUGGUGUUGCGGGGAAUUUGGACUGUUACUUUGAAAAAAUUAGAGUGUUUAAAGCAAGCUAACGCUUGAAUACAUUAGCAUGGAAUAAUGAAAUAGGACGUUCGAUCCUAUUUUGUUGGUUUCUAGGAUUGACGUAAUGAUUAAUAGGGAUAGUUGGGGG